rnacentral:RNase_P_RNA from 1 species
GCGAGGCAACGGAAAGUGCAACAGAAAACAUACCGCCAACGCCCUUCUCACGGAGGGCACGGUAAGGGUGAAAAGGCAGUGUAAGAGACUACCGCGCCGGCCGGUGACGGCUGGCGGCAUUGUAAACCCCGCUCGGUGAAAGACAAAAUAGGGAAGCGCUUUUCCUCGUGAAAAAUAUGGCGGCCCGUCAAAGCUUCCGGGUAUGUCGCUAGAGGCGUUCAGUAAUGAACGUCCCAGAUGAAUGGCUGCUCAAGACAGAAUUCGGCUUACAGGCAGGCUUGCUUC